AAUAAAAAUAUCUUUGGUUGGGGCAACCACGAAGAAAAAAAAACCUUCGUAAAAAAAAGAAAUUUACAAAUUUAAAAUUAUCUAAAAAAAGAUCCAGAAAAUCUGAUCAAAGGAAAAAGUUACCGCAGGGAUAACAGCGUUAUUCUCUUUAAGAGCCCUUAUUGACAAGAGAGUUUGCGACCUCGAUGUUGGAUCGGGGCACCCAAGAGGUGUAGCAGCCUCUAAAGGUAGGUCUGUUCGACCUUUAAAGCCCUACGUGAUCUGAGUUCAGACCGACGAAAGUCAGGUCAGUUUCUAUCUA
rnacentral:rRNA from 2 species